GACGAACGCUGGCGGCGUGCUUAACACAUGCCAGUCGAACGGAAAGGCCUUUUCGGAGGUACUCGAGUGGCGAACGGGUGAGUAACACGUGGGUGAUCUGCCCUGCACUCUGGGAUAAGCCUGGGAAACUGGGUCUAAUACCGGAUAGGACCGCACUUUAGUGUGUGUGGUGGAAAGUUUUUUCGGUGUAGGAUGAGCCCGCGGCCUAUCAGCUUGUUGGUGGGGUAAUGGCCUACCAAGGCGGCGACGGGUAGCCGGACUGAGAGGUUGGUCGGCCACAUUGGGACUGAGAUACGGCCCAGACUCCUACGGGAGGCAGCAGUGGGGAAUAUUGCACAAGGGGCGCAAGCCUGAUGCAGCGACGCCGCGUGGGGGAUGACGGCCUUCGGGUUGUAAACUCCUUUCGCCAGGGACGAAGCGUUUUGUGACGGUACCUGGAGAAGAAGCACCGGCUAACUACGUG
rnacentral:rRNA from 1 species